GGUCUUCGCAAAAAAAGGCCUAAUUUUUGGGAUUUAGUAAUUGCGGCCUGUUGUUAGUAUGCGAGUGUACAUACAAACGAUUAGCACUAUAUUUACUUUGAUUUAUUUGUUGUGAUUAAGAGCAGAAGCUCUACUCAUCUAGGACGAGGUCUAUGACAAGGAAAGUUAAUGUAAAAAAUCAAAAUUGUGUGUGUUUGUGUGGUUAAUACUCACUUCAUUUUGAUAUAUUUGUCUUCUAAUAACCCACCGUGCACAGGACAGACCAUGCAAGCAUCAACUUAUCGAGAAAUGACUUAUUAACCUAUUAAAAGACCAUACCGGAACCACCUAUGGCAUAACCUUUUCAAAACAUUUAAGUAGGGGUGGGCAAUAGAAGCGUUGUAGUAACUGCUCGCUUGUUGAACGGACAAACAUUUUGACGAUGACUCUUGCUUUCAUGGAUAUACAGAGAUAAAUGGAUGGAUGUUGCAAAUACAGUAGAAAUCAUGGGUGCAACAAUUUUUAUGUCCAUGUUUUUCUUUUUGUCUGAUUGUGUAUGUAUACUGGUUACAGGGCACUAUUUGCGUAGAAUUUACUUGACCUGUAGGAACUGGCUCUACUAUCUAGCUUUUAAAUGUAAUAAAUCUAGAAGGCAAUGGAGCAUUACUGUCUUUCCCUCUUUCUACAUAAGCAAGAAAGCUGUGACUUGGAUUCUGGACAUGAAUCUUCUUAACCUGUUGAAGCAUAAAACUAUAGAUGCAGAGUCCAAUUAGUUGUCCUUUGUGCAUACACAAGAAAGUGGAAUUUGGAGUCUGAACAUGAAUCCUUGAGACUGAUGGCCAGAAACAGAACACAACAUGAUGACCUUGAGUGAGACCCUUCUUCACAUGUGACUGCUCUCUUUUGGAAUACCAGCCAUGCGUGACAUGUUUAGUAGAACAGAUUGUGUCGUACGUCUGGUAGUUGUUGUUGCCUAUACAGAGUGUGAUGAUCUGAGGGUGUGAACUAUUUUUUGUGCAAAAUACUUGUUAUAUAAACUAUAUGGAUGGAGUUACGGGACAUUAAGAAAAGAUAUGAGAAAGAAUAUAGAGUGUGAAAUUUGCUAUAUAAAUUACUUGUUAUAUAAAAGUUGAAUCUCACGAUCCAACUUUUUAGAACUAUGCCACAACUUUUAUGAGGCCAUAAGUUUUUCUUUUGAAAUCUGCAGGUUAUAUGAUUUGUACAUGGCGGUGUUACUGAACAGAAGGAGGUAAUUUCUUCGCUCUUUCUAUUGAUUAAUAUUGUUCUUCACUCUUUCUAAACUAUUGAAUUUAUUAAUAUUAUUCUUGCACAAAUUAAUUAAUGAUUAUAUCAUCUUUUGGUCACUCGAGUAAGAUAGAACAUGAUGAUCCUCUCUUAAUUUGGUUUCUCCUCCGCUGAAGAAUAUAGGAAUCACCAGCAGCCCUUCUCUAGUUCCGAGGAAGUGCUCAACCUAGACGUUGUUGGCCGAAGGAGGGGCGGAGCAGGUGCCAGUCAAGUAGGCGGCUCAAUGGGUGGGAGAUGGCAGCUGCCGAUCUCACACGGCUCAUGCGCCCCGCGACCCUCCCCUCCCCAGCUAAGUAGGAGGUUCGAGGGCAGCGACUAAGGAAGGAGCACAUCGGCGAUGAGGGCUAGCAAUAGCAAGACAAUUGCCAGGUGCAGUCGAUAUGCCGCCACGUCGGCCCUUCACGCGCGCCCGCCAGGGUCGGGACCUUUUUCAGAGCAAUGCGUAGUGUUUCCUUUAUUGUUGUUGUUUGUGAUGUCCUUGAUAUUCCUUUGCCAUAUGAUUUUUGAUCAUUUUCUCGCUCAUUCCUAGAGGAGCGCUAUGGAUAAUAUGAUUGAGAUGACUAAGAUACAUGCUUUUUGUUUACUUGGCAUCUGCUUCUCUUAAUUUUUCUACAACCCUUCCUUUACAUGCUGGUAUGUUUUGUUGCCAGGCUCAGAUCGGCGAGACCCGUGCCAAUGCACGAGAGUCCAUGGUAUCAUACGAUUUGAAGUUGAAAAAAUCAUGCUAUGGGUGAUACGGAAAAGUCAUUGCCUUCUUUGCUGGAACAUUUCCUAAGAUGAUCUAAGGUGAAGCAUUUAUGAAUAUCCUCGCUGAUCUAUGGAUCUAUCAUUGUAAGAGUCGAUAAUAUAUGGUGAGCUGCCUCACACCAUCAUUUGGUCUUUGUGGCAUUUGAGUUGGCAAAUUUGUUGGAUUCAUGCGAUUAGGCAUGCCAUGUAAAUCAAUCUGCAAUGGGAAAUGGGAGUUUGCAAACUA